AUGAUGAUAGAUUACUGGGGGAUCGUCUGAACAAGGCCUGCGCUUAAUUGCGCGGCCAGUUCUUGAUUCUCUGCUAUCAGUUUUCUAUUUCUCAUCCUAAACACAAUGGAGUUUUUUCUCUAUGAACUACUUCCCUGGAGAGCUCGUCUCUCCAGUGGACAUAAACACAAACAAUAUUUUGUAUUAUGAAAAACUAUUAUACUAUAAAAUUUAAUAUUCAAAACUUUCAACAACGGAUCUCUUGGUUCUCGCAUCGAUGAAGAACGCAGCGAAUUGCGAUAUGUAUUGUGAAUUGCAGAUUUUCGUGAAUCAUCAAAUCUUUGAACGCACAUUGCGCCCUCUGGUAUUCCAGGGGGCAUGCCUGUUUGAGCGUCAUUUCUCUCUCAAACCUUUGGGUUUGGUAGUGAGUGAUACUCGUCUCGGGUUAACUUGAAAGUGGCUAGCCGUUGCCAUCUGCGUGAGCAGGGCUGCGUGUCAAGUCUAUGGACUCGACUCUUGCACAUCUACGUCUUAGGUUUGCGCCAAUUCGUGGUAAGCUUGGGUCAUAGAGACUCAUAGGUAUUAUAAAGACUCGCUGGUGUUUGUCUCCUUGAGGCAUACGGCUUUAACCAAAACUCUCAAAGUUUGACCUCAAAUCAGGUAGGAGUACCCGCUGAACUUAAGCAUAUCAAAGCGGGGGAGGAAGAA
rnacentral:rRNA from 1 species